rnacentral:rRNA from 1 species
GAUGAACGCUGGCGGCGUGCUUAACACAUGCAAGUCGAACGGAAAGGCUCCUGCUUGCAGGGGUACUCGAGUGGCGAACGGGUGAGUAACACGUGGGUGAUCUGCCCUGCACUUCGGGAUAAGCCUGGGAAACUGGGUCUAAUACCGGAUAGGACCACAUUUUGGAUGGUGUGGUGGAAAGUUUUUCGGUGUUGGAUGAGCUCGCGGCCUAUCAGCUUGUUGGUGGGGUAAUGGCCUACCAAGGCGUCGACGGGUAGCCGGCCUGAGAGGGUGUACGGCCACAUUGGGACUGAGAUACGGCCCAGACUCCUACGGGAGGCAGCAGUGGGGAAUAUUGCACAAUGGGCGCAAGCCUGAUGCAGCGACGCCGCGUGGGGGAUGACGGCCUUCGGGUUGUAAACUCCUUUCGCUAGGGACGAAGCGCAAGUGACGGUACCUAGAGAAGAAGCACCGGCUAACUACGUG